rnacentral:rRNA from 1 species
GCUUAACCGGAGAAGUGCAUCGGAAACCGGGAGGCUUGAGUGCAGAAGAGGACAGUGGAACUCCAUGUGUAGCGGUGAAAUGCGUAGAUAUGUGGAAGAACACCAGUGGCGAAGGCGGCUGUCUGGUCUGUAACUGACGCUGAGGCUCGAAAGCAUGGGUAGCGAACAGGAUUAGAUACCCUGGUAGUCCAUGCCGUAAACGAUGAGUGCUAAGUGUUGGAGGGUUUCCGCCCUUCAGUGCUGCAGCUAACGCAUUAAGCACUCCGCCUGGGGAGUACGACCGCAAGGUUGAAACUCAAAGGAAUUGACGGGGGCCCGCACAAGCGGUGGAGCAUGUGGUUUAAUUCGAUGCUACGCGAAGAACCUUACCAGGUCUUGACAUCUUCUGCCAACCUAAGAGAUUAGGCGUUCCCUUCGGGGACAGAAUGACAGGUGGUGCAUGGUUGUCGUCAGCUCGUGUCGUGAGAUGUUGGGUUAAGUCCCGCAACGAGCGCAACCCUUAUUGUUAGUUGCCAGCAUUCAGUUGGGCACUCUAGCAAGACUGCCGGUGACAAACCGGAGGAAGGUGGGGAUGACGUCAAGUCAUCAUGCCCCUUAUGACCUGGGGCUACACACGUGCUACAAUGGGCAGUACAACG